CCUACGGGUGGCAGCAGUGGGGAAUAUUGGACAAUGGGCGAAAGCCUGACCCAGCCAUGCCGCGUGUGUGAAGAAGGCCUUCGGGUUGUAAAGCACUUUCAGUGGGGAAGAAAGCCUUGGGGCUAAUACCCUCGAGGAAGGACAUCACCCACAGAAGAAGCACCGGCUAACUCCGUGCCAGCAGCCGCGGUAAUACGGAGGGUGCGAGCGUUAAUCGGAAUUACUGGGCGUAAAGCGCGCGUAGGCGGUCUGAUAAGCCGGUUGUGAAAGCCCCGGGCUCAACCUGGGAACGGCAUCCGGAACUGUCAGGCUAGAGUGCAGGAGAGGAAGGUAGAAUUCCCGGUGUAGCGGUGAAAUGCGUAGAGAUCGGGAGGAAUACCAGUGGCGAAGGCGGCCUUCUGGACUGACACUGACGCUGAGGUGCGAAAGCGUGGGUAGCAAACAGGAUUAGAUACCCCAGUAGUC
rnacentral:rRNA from 1 species